rnacentral:sRNA from 1 species
AGACAGUGCAGUCCCAACGUUGAUUCCCCAUGUAACUUGUUCACUGUGAUAUAAUUCUAGCGAAUGUCUGGAUGCCUCAAAAUCAGAGGUAAUGUUGCUAGGGUGAUCCACUGUGCAAUUAUACAAGAAUUCGUCUACAUGGCCAUGACUGUUCUGCCACGUUGUCACCAAAUCAAUAUCAUCGACGCAUUUCAUAGAUAUGACUAGAAUGUUUUGAAGAAUGUCUUUUAGGAUUUCUAGAAUCUUUUCUUUGAUUUCCAGGUCAUCCAAUCGUCCAAAGAAAAGGUUUUUACUUCGAUCAAUGAAAUGCAUCAGAGUUUGUUUUUCAACGCAAUCUUUCAAACGCAGUAAACAUUUUUUCAGAAAUUUUAAAAGGAAUUCUCUUCUCCAGCAGUUGUCAUCUAUAGUUUCGGAUUCCCAAAACACCACCGUUUUCAUAUGAUAAGAACUCAGUUUCUCGCUGACAAUGGGAUCAAUGAAUUUUAUCAACAGUGACUUCAGCAAAACAAAACAUUGCAGUUGUGUAUCGUUAAAACUCCAUACAAGCUCUCUUUCCCAUAGCAAAUACGAGAUCCUCCACUCUAACGAGGAAUGUUGGGAUAUUUUAUCGCCAACAGCAACAACAUGACAAUCCAGCGUUCUUAUUUUCUCUAAAGUUUUCAUUGAUGGCCAAUUAAAAUGGCCUCUACUCCUUAACCAUUGCUCGCCUUCGAAAGGAACGCGACAAAAUGGGAGACCGUGUGCAAAAUCUUGCUCAAUUAAUUCCCCGACUUCCUUUUUGAUAUAUCCUUGUGGAUCUUUGUUGACAGCUGUUGCACAAGGGCCAUGUUGAAAUGUUUCUGGGGGUCCAGUUGCAGUCUGUCUCUUUCCCAAAAAUUUAAUCCAGAACUGUACAACUUUUUCGCUUGGAAGUACAAGCUUUCCUUCUUCGUUUUGUUCAAGCAUGUCUUUAAUUGGACAACCAUUGUCACCAAAUAUCGUAGGAAUACCUGAGUCUGAUUUCAAAAGGACAAGCUUUGCAUAACCUUGAGAAGAAUCCUGGCUGUCUACCAAAAACACGUGACCCCUGACGUUUUUCGCGUCAGCUGGGUCAGAACACACGUAAAUGCAACGAGCAACAAUCAUCUUGUCAAUAUCACUAGUACUCAGGUUUGUCCCUUCUGCCGCACUUCCUCCGAAGUAUCUUCGUAAUAGUUGUUUGUGUCUCACAAAAUACAGGAAUUCUUCCAUCAGUAUUGCAUUCCUUUGAGCAUUCGUUUUACAGGCACUCGCCAUGGUGAAGAAUACACAGUUUGACAAUAUCACCGAUACCUGCGCGAUUUCCUCAACAGAAAACUGAAAUUAAAAAAAAUUCUUAGAAACGAAAUUGUUCCAGGUGAUAAAAAUUGAGAGAGGGCAUUCAGGAUUAACAAAUUCAAUUUAUCCUGUG